UCCUUGAAUGCACGGACGUUUGACGCCGGGGACGGAGCGAGGCAGAGCCGUGGCUCGACAUGUUGCCGGCGUCCUGAUCCGUGGAUCAGAUCCGGCGCUCUCCGGUAACGGCGGCACUGCCUGCAGUAAAUGCGGGGGGCCAGGGGCGUUGGGAGCAUCUUCCUCCUACCUUCAGCCCUAGGUUACCCGAUUGUUGAGAGCGGCGACCCGGUGGGGAAAAUCUGCAGCGACUAGGCGACUGCGUGCUUGGGCAAGCAUGUAGUUCUUGAUGCAUCCUAUAAAUAGGCAGCAGGACUCUGCUAGAAGAGGUCAACGAGAACAACAUGAACUUGGAGCCUCUUCAUUACCCUGUGACGACGACGCCGGUGGUGGAGUUGCCGGCCUGCACGGCGUCAAUCGCCAACGACCAGAUUUGCGCUGAGGGCGCUGUUCCAAGGGCAGGCAGUGCAGAUAACCUCAAGCUUCAGAGCACUACAUCGAGCAGGGUCCGGGUUGGGGCCUCUGCGCUAGGCAGAGCCCCAUGUGCUGAUAGGAUUUCAGCGCUGGAGAAAAUUGUUCAAAGGGAAAGGCAUUAGUGGAGAAUACUCGGUCCUGCUGUUGUGAGUGCCCUGCUCUCACAAGGCUGUUGCAUUCAAAGGACACUGGUUGGUACACAGCGGAGCAUCGUGAGGAGCACAACCAUUCGCUCCAACUUAUGGGCAGACUGUACGCUGGCAAUAACACAGGCAUAUUAAUGCGUACAGUCGAAUUUUGUAAAACAAAUAAGGCAGAACAAUGUGAACCUUGUGAAAGUUUACAACAUUAUAGGCAGUUUUUUUGGGUCGAUGGAAAAUGUACCAUUCACAGAAAGAGCUCUAAGGAACUUGUGUGGCAAGAUAAACCAUGAGCAAGCAGAGUAUGACGUUAGGAAAACAAAGGAGGUGUUUCAUGAGCUUGGUUCAAAAGAUCCGCAUUUCACAUAUCGUGUUCAAACUGACAAAAGGGGGAUCAGCAGACUGAUGUGGGCUAAUGGGAAGAACAUAUUACAGUAUACCUUCUUUGCAGAUGUUAUGAACCAGAUUCAACCAGAAUGUGCUAUGGUUGUUGCAGGAGACAGAGUGCAUGGUGCCACAGCUAGCAAUGAUGACAGUUGAGCUAAUGAGUCAGGGAAUAGCCUAGUGGGAUUAUUGCCUCCAACAAAGAGGAAGGAGAUGGGAAGGCCUACAAGCAGAGAGAAGGCGUUGUACGAGGGUUUGAGCAUAAGGACAAGAUUCAGCACCAUUUGUCGGCAUCAGGGGCAUAAGCAGACAACCUGUCCAGAUCGCCGAGAGAUGUCCCAAAGCAAGUUCGGAGACCAGCACGCUGCAAGAAUUGUGGAGUUGAAGGUCACCGUCGCAACAACUGCCACAAAGCAGCGGAACUUAUUAGACUCAAUAAAGCAUGAGCAGACCAAGUAGUCAGUGAAACUGUUUAAGAUAAUUCCAACGCCCUAUGUUUCAACAAUUUUCAGUUGUGCUGUACUAGUAUUUUAAUUAGUUGGUUGGUGUGUAAAGUAUGAGGGACAAAACUUAGUUCAAUUAAGUCAUUUCAUCAUGAGCCUGUACUGAUGGUGUUUUAGGACGGGUGCUUCUGAUCUCAGGCGUUUGAGUCGUUGUAUAGAGAAACACUUACCUAUGUUGCCUGAUCUGGUACUUAAAAGACAGCAUAAAAAUUCA